rnacentral:lncRNA from 1 species
UAUUUUGCCCGUGAGCCCAUGGAGAACAGCCUCCAUCAUUCGUUCAAAGAGGAUCCAUUUCGACCUGCCAGUAUCCACUCUGAAGAUCUAUGGUGCUGAACCAAGUUGCACCAGCUAUCAGGUCGAGUGUUUCAUCGAUUCUGGGUAAAGGACAAUGCCGUUAAAACAUUCAGAGCCGGCGUCCGAAGACAAGAAGCAAGGCUGUGGGCCCUCAUGGCGGAGUCCCACUGAUUAUGUUUAGCAAUUGUAUUAAAUUGACGUUCAUACUCCGCC